CGCAAACUAAAAUGUUUCUAUACCAAUGCGCAAAGCAUGGGAAACAAACAAGGAGAACUGGAAAUCCUAGCACAGGAAAAUAAAUAUGAUAUCAUAGGCAUAACUGAAACUUGGUGGGAUAAUACGCAUGAUUGGAACACAGAGCUCGAAGGCUACAACUUAUUUAAAAAAAACAGGCUUAAUAAAAGGGGAGGAGGUGUUGCAUUGUAUGUAAGGAAAAUAUAUACCACCACAGAGAUUAAUCUUUCAGAUAAUGGAAGCCCUGUAGAAACCGUUUGGGUGAAAAUACAAGGAGAGAGCAACACAAAGGAUACUGUUGUAGGAGUUUAUUAUAGACCCCCUGGACAAACAGAAUAUAUGGAUGAACUAUUUAUAUAUCAGAUGGCCAAGCUCUCGGGGAAACACGACCUAGUCAUUAUGGGAGAUUUUAACUAUCCGGACAUUUGUUGGGAAUCUCUCUCUGGCAAAAGUCAUGGGUCCAAUAAAUUCUUAUCCUCUCUGGCAGAUAACUUCAUUUUCCAAAGGAUUGAGGAAAAAACAAGGGGGUCUGCUAUCUUGGACCUAAUCCUUACCAACAGGGAGGAAAUGGUUGAGGAAGUAAGGGUGACUGGGACCCUGGGUGGCAGUGACCAUGCUAUCAUUGAGUUUUGGAUAACAAAAGGAGGAAGAUCUGAGAGGACUCGGACUUCAAGGUUAGAUUUCAGAGGAGCAGAUUUUUAUGGACUCAGAAGGAGGGUAGGAAGGAUCCAUUGGCUGGAUGUCUUAAAGGACAGAAAUGUCCAGGAAGGAUGGGAAAUUUUGAGAAAGGAGAUUCUAGAGGCACAAUCUUUAACAAUUCCUAAAAGAAAAAAGAAUGGCAAGCAUCUAAAGAGACCAGGGUGGAUGAACCCUGAACUUAAUAACUUGCUAAAAAGAAAAAGAGAAAUGUUUAAAAAAUGGAAAGAGGGGGACAUAUCAAAAGAAGAAUAUAAUGCAAUCUGCAGGAACUGCAGGAUAAGUGUCAGAAAGGCUAAAGCUAAAAAUGAAUUGAGGAUUGCAAGAGAGGCCAAAAACAAUAAAAAAAGGCUUUUGGGGGUAUGUCAGAAGCAAAAGAAAAGUCAAAGAAGCUAUAGGACCUUUACAAAAUGAGAAGGGUGAUUUGGUCAAAAACGACAUUCAGAAGGCAGAACUUCUGAACUCCUAUUUUGCAUCUGUUUUCUCUCAGAAAGGAAAGGAAACAUCAGUUGGCCUUCACUGUGCUGUUGAGGGAAUAAGAGAAUCAAGGUUCUGUAUGGACAAGGAGAAGGUGAGGGAACACUUAGCAAACUUAAAUGUAUUCAAGUCUCCAGGCCCAGAUGAAUUACAUCCUAGGGUGCUGAAGGAAUUAGCUGAUAUAAUUGCUGAACCACUCUCUGUGAUAUUUGAGAACUCAUGGAUAACAGG
rnacentral:lncRNA from 1 species